GGAAACUCAGGGCCAGCAGCAGGGGAAAGACAGAGGGUGCAAGCGUUAGUCGGAUUUACUGGGCGUAAAGCGUGAGUAGGUGGCUCGCUAAGUCGAUUGUGAAAGCCCUGGGCUCAACCUGGGAAUUGCAGUCGAUACUGGAGAGCUAGAGUUCGGUAGAGGGUGACGGAAUGCCCGGUGUAGCGGUGAAAUGCGUAGAUAUCGGGAGGAACAUCGAUGGCGAAGGCAAUCACCUGGGCCUGAACUGACACUGAGACACGAAAGCGUGGGUAGCAAACAGGAUUAGAUACCCUAGUAGUC
rnacentral:rRNA from 1 species